GGUUUCACUUUUGCUUCCGCUGUAUCAUGAAAGACGCCAUUCUGGGUAGAAUUUCUGUCUCUUCUCCACCUCCACCACACGCUGUCAGUGGGCUCCCACCCACACAAGUCCUUCCCCGCUCCCUCCUGCUCCCUCUCCAGUGCUGUUACAUGGGAUGGAGCACACACCAACUCACCCUGUGCCGCUCCAUGCCCCACAUUCACACAGCCACCAUCUCACCGUCUCUCCGUGCCCUUCUCAUUGCCCAGCCCAGCUCAGGGUGGUGGCACCGAGCCUCCGGGUCACUGCCAUCGUGGGACAGGACGUCGUGCUGCGCUGCCACUUGUGUCCUUGCAAGGAUGCUUGGAACUCAGACAUCAGAUGGAUCCAGCACCAGUCCUCUGGUUUUGUGCACCACUACCAAAAUGGAGUGGAUCUGGAGCAGAUGGAGGAGUAUAAAGGGAGGACAGAACUGCUCAGGAAUGGGCUCUCUGAUGGAAACCUGGAUCUGCGCAUCACUGCUGUGAGAUCCACUGAUAGUGGCUCAUACAGCUGUGCUGUGGAAAAUGGUGAUGGCUAUGCAGAAGCUGUGGUGAACCUGGAGGUGUCAGAUCCCUUUUCUGAGACCAUCUAUCCCUGGAAGGUGGCUCUGGGUGUGGUUGUCCCACUUCUUUUGGUGGCAUUUGUUGUCAUCAUAGCUUUUCUCUAUAGAAAGCAAGGAAGGGGAAAAAGGAAGGGUGAAAAGACAGGAACGUGGCUGGAGUGUGGGGCAGGUGGAAAGGUCCAGACCCACUGGAGAAUUCCGCACAAACCAAGCUGUCCUGCUGACCACCUCUUCCUCUGCUUUGUUUUCCAGCGGCACAGAUCAGAGAGCUGAGUGAGUCCUUCCAGCCCCUUCCACCACCAAAAUCCCUUUAAUGGAUCUGAUAGAAGACUGCAGAGUGCUGGGUUUAUGUGAUGGGUUUGGUCCAUGGGAUUUUUGGAGCCUUGGGAUGUACUGGCACUGUGGGAUGGACAGGGGUCAUGGCAUCCCAUGUUGAUCCUGAUGGAUCCUCUUCACAAGUCUAGCUCAAACAGUUCUUUCCUAUUAGUUUAAUUCCCUCUCGGACCAAAGUGAUCACUGGCCACUUUGCAGAACAAAAGAUUUGGGGUCUGGGUAUGGGAGCAGCCAUGGGAUGAGAAAUUGUUUCCCCUGACCAUGCAUUUCCUUUGUUUCCCUUAUGCAGUGAGAAGAAGUACAAUGCUGGGUAAGUCUCCUCCCCCAAAGUGAGGGAAUUCAGGUCUCCCCAUGGCAUCAGCCGUGGGAUGAGCAGCUCUCCCCUCUGACCCUGCACUGCUCUGCUCUUUCUUUUCCAGAGGAACUCUUACUGGAAGCAGUCAGAAGAGAUGCACAUAU